GAAAAUAAUGAUGGAGAUUUUAAAGUUAUUGAUGCGUCUCCUAUUAGAUCUUUGUUUUGCAAUAUGAAUCUUGAUAAUAAUGGGACUGAAGAUGAGUCAACUUUAGUUAGAAGGCGUCCCAAGAAUUCGGAGUUUUUAGAUCUUGAUGCUAAAUUUGGUAAAUGUGGGAUUAGAGAGGUCAUGACUUUAAAUAGUAUUGAGCCAAUUAUCUCGGAUUUCAAGGAAUUUGAUUAUGAUAAUUGUUCUUUAGAAGGUUGUAUUUCCUUGUUGCAAUCCGUUGUUAAUUCUCCUCAUGCUUAUAGUUAA
rnacentral:rRNA from 1 species